rnacentral:rRNA from 1 species
CUGGCUCAGAUUGAACGCUGGCGGAAUGCUUUACACAUGCAAGUCGAACGGCAGCACGGACUUCGGUCUGGUGGCGAGUGGCGAACGGGUGAGUAACAUAUCGGAACGUAUCCAAUAAUGGGGGAUAACUAAUCGAAAGGUUGGCUAAUACCGCAUACGCCCUGAGGGGGAAAGCUAGGGAUCUUCGGACCUGGCGUUAAUGGAGCGGCCGAUAUCUGAUUAGCUAGUUGGUGAGGUAAAGGCUCACCAAGGCGACGAUCAGUAGCUGGUCUGAGAGGACGACCAGCCACACUGGAACUGAGACACGGUCCAGACUCCUACGGGAGGCAGCAGUGGGGAAUUUUGGACAAUGGGCGCAAGCCUGAUCCAGCCAUUCCGCGUGAGUGAAGAAGGCCUUCGGGUUGUAAAGCUCUUUCGCAAGGGAAGAAAACUUAUCCUCUAACAUAGGAUGAGGUUGACGGUACCUUGAUAAGAAGCACCGGCUAACUACGUGCCAGCAGCCGCGGUAAUACGAAGGGUGCAAGCGUUACUCGGAAUUACUGGGCGUAAAGCGUGCGUAGGUGGUUUGUUAAGUCUGUCGUGAAAUCCCCGGGCUC